AAGACAAAUAUCAGUUUGAUCCAAGACUUGUGGGUCCCAAGAAGUUUUCAAUGAUAAGCAUUCAAUCCCCACUGCUUUAUGUGGUGUGGUCCACUUGAGCUUUACAUCUGUCUUAUUUUUUCAGUCCAUACCCUAAAAUGAUAAUCUAAAAUGGAUGGACGAUGUGGAUAUAACACAUACAUUAUGGUGGGCCCUACAGAACCUGGUGACGUCAACGCACCACAUAGGUAAUCAGCAUCGGAGAAAAUGAUAAAAUGUUGAUAAAGUGAGGAUGUGUCACAUCAUGCGCAUGUUAGCAUCAUCCAGAAGUAUGGUAUAUAGUCUUCCUCCCUCCACGCAAGAAAAGAAAAAGAAGUGAAGCGUGAUUGGAUGGUAUUGCUGUUGAGUGGGAGACAAGUGCAACCCAUAUUGCUAGCUCCUUUUGCAGCAAGUCAAAAAGGGCAGUGAAAAGGGCAAGCGACAAGCAUGAGCUAAUAACCUCAAUACACCCCACUACACCAUACAAUCCGUACAACUCCAUGCAUGCUCAUGCAUCCCCCACCACCCUCUCUCUCUUCUCUCUCACAAAUUCAAAACUAAAGGAUUCUCUCUCCAAACCAUUCUUCUAUAAAUACACCUCCCUCUCACUCUCUCUCUCGACAUAUAUAUACAUAUCUGUUGGUUUCUCAGAGGCUUUAUUAUAGAGCAAUUUUGGCAUUCUGUCCACCUCCAUCACAAAAUAUCAGCACCACCAACACCAACCUUUUAUUUUAUAGUUUGGAGGCGGCCAGUAUGCCAAGAAAGCUCUGUAAAUUUCGCUCUGAGAAACCUCCGCGAUGAGAAAAGAACUGUAGUAUGGAUGAUUGGAGUAAGAUCGGUUGAGAUAGUUUGGAGUUUGGAUGGGUGCGCUGGGAUUGAAUCCUUCAACUCAACAUUGCAACAGUUGGACCAUUGGAACUAAGAUAAGUCCCAACGACAUGCAACCACUUUCUACGCUAUUUCGGAGACACCAUUUUUCUAUGAUGGAUUGAUUCCAUUCUCUUUUCUUUCCUUUAAUUUUUAAUUUUUUUUCCUGAUGUGACUAUAUAUGGGAUCCUAACAUGACCACCCAUUCAGUUCAAACGGUA